rnacentral:rRNA from 1 species
CGCAUCUGUGCAUGCAGCAUAUCAAUAAGCGGAGGAAAAGAAACUAACAAGGAUUCCCCUAGUAACGGCGAGUGAAGCGGGAAGAGCUCAAAUUUGAAAUCUUAAAGGGUUUCCCUUUACGAAUUGUAGUUUAAAGAAGUGUUUUCUGUUGAGGUUUUGGUAACAGUUCUUUGGAAUAGGACAUCAUAGAGGGUGAGAAUCCCGUAUUUGACCUUUACUUCAACUUUGUGAUACACUUUCAAAGAGUCGGAUUGUUUGGGAAUGCAGUCCAAAAUGGGUGGUAAAUUUCAUCCUAAAGCUAAAUAUUGGCGAGAGACCGAUAGCGAACAAGUACCGUGAGGGAAAGAUGAAAAGAACUUUGAAAAGAGAGUUAAACAGUACGUGAAAUUGUCAAAAGGGAAGCGUUUGACACCAGUGUUGUUUUUCUGAAAAUCAAUUAAAGAACUGUUUAUGCUAAGUUGUUUAGACUUUAUCAGCUAUCUGUUUAGUUUUGAGCUCUUCUUUAAUGCACUUUUCAGUUAACAAGUCAACAUCAAUUUCUUUUGCUGUAAAAAAGCUUGAGGAAGGUGGCUUGAGAUUCGUCUUAAGUGUUUAUAGCCUCUUGCCUAUGCAGUCGGAGAGAUUGAGGUCUGCAGCGUAGAUCCUUCGGGGCUAAAUGCAUUUGUGCUAAGUUAUAGCAUUUUAUAGACAACUUGUUGACUAUGAUUUGUCUUGUAGCUUACUCGCUUAUGUUAUUUUACCUACGCUUAGGAUGUUGACUGAUAUGUAGUCGUA